GAUGAACGCUGGCGGCGUGCCUAAUACAUGCAAGUCGAGCGAACAGAUGAGGAGCUUGCUCCUCUGACGUUAGCGGCGGACGGGCGAGUAACACGUGGAUAACCUACCUAUAAGACUGGGAUAACUUCGGGAAACCGGAGCUAAUACCGGAUAAUAUAUUGAACCGCAUGGUUCAAUAGUGAAAGACGGUUUUGCUGUCACUUAUAGAUGGAUCCGCGCCGCAUUAGCUAGUUGGUAAGGUAACGGCUUACCAAGGCAACGAUGCGUAGCCGACCUGAGAGGGUGAGCGGCCACACUGGAACUGAGACACGGUCCAGACUCCUACGGGAGGCAGCAGUAGGGAAUCUUCCGCAAAGGGCGAAAGCCUGACGGAGCAACGCCGCGUGAGUGAUGAAGGUCUUCGGAUCGUAAAACUCUGUUAUUAGGGAAGAACAAAUGUGUAAGUAACUAUGCACGUCUUGACGGUACCUAAUCAGAAAGCCACGGCUAACUACGUG
rnacentral:rRNA from 1 species